UCUUGGUCAUUUAGAGGAAGUAAAAGUCGUAACAAGGUUUCCGUAGGUGAACCUGCGGAAGGAUCAUUAUCGAGUUUAAACGCGUCUGAGCUGGCUUCGGCAAGUGCUCGGCGCCUCGUCCACUCAACCCCUGUGCACCUGAGAGGUGCGGCUGGGUCGAAAGACCCGCCGCCGCGCCUCGACCCUCUUUACACACCCAUUACAAGUUCAGUCGAAUGUAUCGAUCGCUUCGGCGAUGAAACGAAAUAUAACUUUCAACAACGGAUCUCUUGGCUCUCGCAUCGAUGAAGAACGCAGCGAAAUGCGAUAAGUAAUGUGAAUUGCAGAAUUCAGUGAAUCAUCGAAUCUUUGAACGCACCUUGCGCUCCUUGGUAUUCCGAGGAGCAUGCCUGUUUGAGUGUCAUGAAUACCAUCACCCUCCGGCGCUUUCGAGCGCUCGGUUGGCGUGGACUUGGGGAUCUGCUGGCCUUCGCGGGUCGGCUUCCCUUGAAUGCAUUAGCGGUCGCUUGGUUCUGACCACGGUGUGAUAACUAUUUCACCUUGGGAGGGCCGCUCGGGCGUCGCUCACAGCCGUCUUCGGACACCCAUUUGUUAAUCUGGCCUCAAAUCAGGUAGGACUACCCGCUGAACUUAAGCAUAUCAAUAA
rnacentral:rRNA from 1 species